rnacentral:rRNA from 1 species
AGAAAGCAGGGGAUCGCAAGACCUUGUGCUUUUAGAGCGGCCGAUGCCUGAUUAGCUUGUUGGUGAGGUAAAGGCUUACCAAGGCUUCGAUCAGUAGCUGGUCUGAGAGGACGGCCAGCCACACUGGGACUGAGACACGGCCCAGACUCCUACGGGAGGCAGCAGUGGGGAAUUUUGGACAAUGGGGGCAACCCUGAUCCAGCCAUGCCGCGUGAGUGAAGAAGGCCUUCGGGUUGUAGAGCUCUUUCAGCCGGAACGAAACGGUUACGGUUAAUACCCGUGAUUACUGACGGUACCGGAAGAAGAAGCACCGGCUAACUACGUGCCAGCAGCCGCGGUAAUACGUAGGGUGCGAGCGUUAAUCGGAAUUACUGGGCGUAAAGCGUGCGCAGGUGGUUUUGUAAGUCAGAUGUGAAGUCCCCGGGCUUAACCUGGGAACUGCGUUUGAAACUACAAGACUAGAGUGUAGCAGAGGGGGGUGGAAUUCCGCGUGUAGCAGUGAAAUGCGUAGAGAUGUAGAGGAACACCGAUGGCGAAGGCAGCCCCCUGGGUUAACACUGACACUCAGGCACGAAAGCAUGGGGAGCAAACAGGAUUAGAUACCCUGGUAGUCCAUGCCCUAAACGAUGUCAACUAGUUGUCGGGCCUUUGCGGGCUUGGUAACGUAGCUAACGCGUGAAGUUGACCGCCUGGGGAGUACGAUCGCAAGAUUAAAACUCAAAGGAAUUGACGGGGACCCGCACAAGCGGUGGAUUAUGUGGAUUAAUUCGAUGCAACGCGAAAAACCUUACCUACCCUUGACAUGUAUCGAAACCCGCAGAGAAGUGGGUGUGCCCGAAAGGGAACGAUAACACAGGUGCUG